rnacentral:lncRNA from 1 species
UGAGCCAUGAUCGUACCACUGCACUCCAGCCUGGGCAACACAGCGAGACCCUGACUCCACAAAUAAAUAAAUCAACAUCAUAUGAUCUGUACCAGGGUAUAGGCAGGUGCUAUGAUCCCCACUUUUCAUCCUCAACUCUAAGUUGAGUCAUACAUCAACCUCUAGUAAAAAGUGGCAUGCUCUCAGUCAAAGGGGUAAGCCCAAACCACGCGGAGAGAAUCUUAUCUCUUUUGAGAGCUAAUAUAAAAAGAAUUCCUCCUAGGCAUAAAAAUAUUGUGACACCAGUUACUUAGGCUAAACAUGCCUAUUAUGCUAAGUGAGUUAUUAACAAUAAAUACUUUAACUCUGUGCCAUGUUAAUUAUCAUAAUCUGAUUUAUAAUUUGUUUUAACCUUAGGUUAUAUAUACCUUGAAGCCAUUUAUAUUUUGGUAUACUUGUAAUAAUUACUAUACACCGGACUAUGUAUAUUGGACUAAACACGGAGAGUCAAAAAAGAGUAUGUGGUCAGAGUAGAAAUCAUGCCCUAGCUUCCUUCGUGUCUACCUCCUACCUUGAGUAGAAGUGGUAGAAAAAGUAAUUACCUAAGAUUUUUUGGAUUCUGGUUUGUGGAGAAGCACCCUUAUAUUUAGGCUGAUGGGCGGCAAAAUUAGAAAGUAUUUUUUGUGAUUUAGAAUUUUAUACGGAGAUGUUCAUUGUGAUUAAUUAUUCUUUGUAUUAGCAGAUUUUUGCUUUUUAUAGCUGCAUGAUUUCUUGUUUAUUAUUCAUUCAUUAUUGUCUAUUAAUAAAGAAAAACUUUAUUUCACUGAAGCAGUGAUAUAUAAUCCAACUUGGAUUUUUAAAUAAUGACUGACUUUUUUUCUUUGGGAAUACAUUACUGUUAAAAAUGUAAUUAUUAGAUACAUUACUUUUAAUGAAUAUAAGUGGUAUAAUUAGAAGGCUGAAAAGAAUCCUUGGAAAUGUGAGUUUAAUUUGAUAGCUAAGAAACUGAGGACAAGUUACUUAUUCUUUGUAGCAUAUUUUCUAAUGUCAUUUCAUUGUCUCACCAAGAAAUACUUGCAUAAAGCAAGUUCAAUUACAGCAUCUGUUGAAUAUUUAAGGUUGAGUAAAGUGGGUGAGUUUAACAGAUAUUUUCCCUUAUUUCUUUUAGGCGAAUCUGGAUUGGGAAAGUUGAUAUUAAUCAACUCAUUAUUCCUCACAGAUUUGUAUUCUCCAGAGUAUCCAGGUCCUUCUCAGAGAAUUAAAAAGCCUGUACAGGUCUACAUAUUGGUAUUUUUAAUUGAUGAUAAGCUGGAAUAAUAUUAAUACACACAAAGCACGUGUUGUAACUUUCAUUAUGCUUCCCUAGAGCUGGCAGCCUGCUAUCAAUUACAUUGAUAGUAAAUUUGAGGACUACCUAAAUGCAGAAUCGCAAGUGAACAGAUGUCAGAUGCCUGGUAACAGGGUGCAGUGUUGUUUAUACUUCAUUGCUCCUUCAGGACAUGGACCAUUACAUAACUGAAGACUCCCACCUUCAGGCAGGUUUGGGUAGUACACGUUUGUAACUACCUGGCAUUGCCUUUUGUUGAAGUAAUUUCAGUUUUUAUUAGUAGUAGUAGUAGUAUACUUUAAGUUCUACAGUAUAUGUUCACAAUGUGCAGGUU